rnacentral:misc_RNA from 1 species
ACCAGUUUAGAUUACAAUUUGUAACGUCCUCGUAAAAGAAUUCUUUGUAGUAAACGCCAACAAGACGAAAGAAAACAACACAGUUCAAGAAGAUGUGCGGUCCAGUUCUUAUGAGUUCCGCGGUUGGUAUCAAUUUUAAAUUUGUAGUGACGUCAGUGAAGGUUCGCCUUGGCCAAUGACGUUCUGCAUCACACAUCACACAGUAUGAAGUGUCGUGAAUCAUAAAUGGUUGUAUAUCGCUGAAAAUCGGCUUCCUUCAGUGACGGAAAUGAGAAUGCUCCAUUUGACGUUUAUGUUGUUUUGAAGAACUUUAGUAUUUUUAAUAAUAAAUUGUGCAAAUUAUGUGAAAUAAUUUUAGUUAGCAAGUUUAGUUUUUUAUUUACAAGAUUCCUCUAGAGCUUGCAAAGAUGAUAUUUGCUCAAACAUCACUCUAAGUAACUUAGUAUUAUAAUGGAUCGAAGCAAUCAAAUCGUUCAGCAUGGUGUUCCAGUAUCUAGUCUUGACGCCGCUCACGCGAACGAAUAUUUCGAACAGUUCGUCAAUGCAUCCAGUUUGAAAAACAUCCUCGGAUAUUAUCGAGGUUUGAUCGACAGUCUUCACCUGAGGCCGAACGUCUUCAACUUGUUCUAUCCGAAACUCAGAGCCAAUUUGACGUCAUGGCGGGCCAAAGCUCUCCUGAAGAAGUUCGAUUCGAGGGCGUCGCACAAAUGCUACCAGAAGGGAAAGGCGGCAGCGAAUACGAGAGUUCUUGUGAUAGGAGGAGGUCCUUGCGGUAUGCGGACGGCUAUAGAGGCGCAGUUGUUAGGAGCUAAAGUGGUUGUUGUAGAGAAGAGGGAUAGAUUUUCUAGGAAUAACGUUUUACAUUUAUGGCCUUUUGUGAUAGAAGAUUUGAGGAUGCUGGGCGCAAAGAAGUUUUUUGGUAAAUUUUGCGCCGGUGCCAUCGAUCACAUCAGUAUCAGGCAGUUGCAAUGUAUCUUACUGAAGGUAGCUCUUCUUCUUGGAGUUGAAGUUCAUACAGAAGUCAGUUUUGAAACUCUGGUAGAGCCUGAUGCUAAUGAAAAAAUUGGUUGGAGAGCACAGUUUAAACCCGCCAAUCAUCCGGUCUCGCAGUACGAGUUCGACGUCAUAAUAGGCGCCGACGGUAAACGCAAUACUCUACAGGGAUUUAGCCGCAAGGAAUUUAGGGGGAAGCUUGCAAUAGCUAUCACGGCCAACUUUAUCAAUAAGAAAACCGAAGCCGAAGCGCGCGUAGAAGAAAUUAGCGGUGUAGCUUUUAUAUUUAACCAGAAGUUUUUCAAGGAUUUGCAAGAAGCCACUAGAAUUGACUUAGAGAACAUAGUUUAUUAUAAAGAUGAUACUCAUUAUUUCGUUAUGACAGCGAAGAAGCAUAGUUUAAUCGAGAAAGGAGUCAUAAAACAAGAUUUUGCCGAUACCGAAAAGUUAUUAGCUCCCGAAAACGUAGACAAAGAAGCUCUACAGCAAUACGCAAUAGAAGCUGCCACUUUUAGUACUAAUUAUCAGAUGCCCAAUUUAGAAUUUGCAGUCAAUCACUACGGUCAACCGGACAUCGCUAUGUUCGAUUUUACUUCCAUGUAUGCCGCCGAAAACGCUUCAAAAGUGGUGGAGAGGAACGGUUAUCGUUUACUAAAAAUAUUAGUUGGAGAUAGUUUACUUGAGCCGUUUUGGCCCACCGGUUCAGGUUGCGCCAGAGGAUUUUUAUCUUCUUUGGAUGCUGCCUGGGCCAUUCGAAGUUGGUCCUUGGGAGUAGCGUCAUCUCUAGAAGUAUUGGCCGAACGUGAAUCGAUAUACAGAUUGCUAGCGCAGACCACUCCGGACAAUUUGAACAAAGACUGGAAAUCGUACACCCUAGAUCCAGCCACUAGAUACCCUAAUUUCAACAAGACCGUUGUCUUGUCACACCAUGUGCUCGCUCUCUUUGACACCGACAAUCCUGCUAGCAUCGAGAGAAUGAAACGUACCUCUAACGAAAAGGUUCACGAUAUACCAAAGAAGAGAAGAAGAGGUAAUCUGGAUAACGAAGUGUUGCUCAACUGGUUAACAGAACAAUUGAAAGAAGUGGAAGGUAUCGAAAUCACCGAAAUGGGUUCGGUAUUCAAAGACGGGAAAGUUUUAUGUGCAAUAAUACAUCACUACAGACCAGAUCUGUUAGAAUAUAGUGCAAUUAUUAAUAACGAUGCGGCGAAAAACAAUCAGAUUGCGAUUAAUAUCCUUGAAAAGGAUUUAGGUAUACCUCCUGUGAUGACCGGAAGCGAAUUGACAAUGACCGAAGAUUUCUUAUCGAUGGCUAGUUAUUUGACAGAAAUCUACGACUGUUUCAGAGGGGAAAUCCCCCAUGUGAAGCAUCCAAAAUUGGACUUGCCUAUAAGACCUAUCAAGUCAAUGCCUCCAAUUAUCAAAAACUGUGUAUAUAUACCUCAGAACGAUAGGCAGGUAAAAGACCAAUACAAAACUUGCAAGAAGUGCUUCAAUGCUUAUUAUUUAAGAAAUCGAUCAAGCGAUUGCUAUUACAAAAAUAAGUUGAGGAAAUUAGUACAAACCAAUUUACCAGUAAUAUGUGUUGUAGAUAGUAAAAAUAAAUUUCAAAGACCAGAGCCUCAGAAUAAUCUUAAACCCAAAAAAGAGUUGUAUUAUAAAAGCAAUACUGUGGAUCUGAAAAAUUCUGAAUUUUUAAUACCAACUAGGCAUAAAGUUUUAAAAAAUAAGAAAAACAAAGCAAAGCAAGUCAAACUUCGUGUUACUGAUAAAAAUAACAACUUAAUAACUAACAAUUUAGUGUUAGAAAAGAAAAUAAUAGAUAGAAAAAGGGGUAUGUCAGAAGAUGAUUGUUUAAAGCCAGAGAUUCCCAUAUCACCAAGAUUAGAUAAGCAGUUGAAGUGCAUAGAGAAAAUGUAUCAGAAACAUGAACGAUUGAAAAGAGUCCUAACACAGCUGAUACGGAAGCGUCGAUCUGAUGGAACCAGUAAUAAUCAUCAUGUUUUACAAACUGACUAUAAAGUCGCUCAGGCUGAUGCUGUAGGAGAAAAUGUAUGUUCCAAAGUUGAUCAACUUACUCACGUAUCAGAACUUCAUGUUAAUAUCAAUAUCGAUUCACAAACUCCAACAAGUCAAAUAGACUUGUCAGAUAAACUUGUAAAAACAAACCCCGAAAUUCUUCCUUCAGUCGAACAAAAUAAAACAGGGAAUAUUUCUAGUAGAAAGGAUGAUGUUAAUACCAUUUUUAAUAACUCUCAUUAUCAAGAAAGUUCUGUGUACUUUUCGGUUAAAAAACCAAUAUCUGAAACUCAUUUAAAAAUCAGGAUUUUGGAAAAGAAUAGAAACAAGGAACUAACUCUUCAGACCAUCGAGUACAUCUCCUCGACAAAUGAAUUGAAAAUUUCUUCCAAAAUUGGAUUAAAUCAUCUUUCGAAUGAAACAUUUUCAAGUCCCCUUCUGGCCCAAUUUUCGGAUCAAAAUUUAUUAUUUGAGACGCUCGGUAGGGCGACUUCGAAAACGUCGAGAAAAAACAACAGCCAUGAUUUUGACAAUGGCGUGUCAAACCAAAACUGUCAGUUGAAAUUAAAUGGUCGAAAAAAGAUUCGUGCGAAGACAAUGAUAGAGGGGGAUGGGAUACACAAUCAAAUUUUCAGUAGAGUAUCGAAUUGGAUAAGUUCUAACGACUUUUUUCAUCAAGAAAAUAAGGCAGACACAGACGCAGAAACUAUUAUUACGAAUAGCAGACUUACCGAUAUAACUUCAGUAUCAAAAAUGGACGAGUACGAUGGUAUUGUCGUCGAAGAAAGAACCGAUGUUAUUAAUUUCUCCAAUUCGAAGUCUGAAAAAUCUUCGGAGGAAAAAUUUGUCGAAAAAAUGAAAGCCUUUAAUAGUAGAGCAAUAAAAAAUUUGUCGAAAUUUUCACAAUAUUCCCCGUUUCAACUUGCUGGUGCUCUGAAAUCACAUUCUGCCCCACCGACACAAUUUUCAGUUAUCGUGGAAGGAGAGGAACUCCCAGAUUUACCUGUCGCAAAUACAAAGAUGAGCGAAGUUUCCUUCAAAACAAUUAAAACGUCUAAUAUAGCACACCCAAUUACGCAACCACACAGACCCUCGAGUAGACAUAAACACAAACACACAGAUAUGGUCACUCAGAAAGUGGGCAGCGUUGACAGGAAACCGAGAAAGAGAAGAACGAUGGAGAAAGUCGGAGCGAGUGUGGAAGAACGACAGAAGAUGCUCGAAGAAAUCGCCUCCAAUCGGGCAGAACGACACAACAAAAGAAAAUAUCAGCGAAAAUUGCAAACCGAACAGUUUAUUAAGAGUAUGCAAAUGCUCCAAGCGAACGCCAAAGCAGAUGCGCAACCGUUUGAAGAUUAUGCGAUCUUUUUGUAUCGUCAAACAGCGCCUAAGUUUGAAGAUAGGGUUAAACAGAUAGAGAAACAGUUUACUUAUGUUCCUGAUCAAGAGAACCGCCCUAGUCAAUUCAAUCGAGGAAUGGGAAAAGACGAAGACAUAGCAGCUAAAAUAAAGAGUUUGGAGAGUAAGUUCGGACACAGACAAUCAGUAGACAAAAAGCCCAAAGACUUACUUAGAGCCAUAGGCAAAAUCGAAACCUCGGAUUGGAAUAUUAAAGAAAUAGAAAAGAAGAUCCUGGAGAAUAAGAUGGGAAAACCGUCGAGGGCUAUCGAUAAGGAAAAAGUUCCAAAGUGGAGUAAAGAACAGUUUUUGGCUAGACAGAACAAGAUGGAACAAAAACAUUUGGAGAGGCAAACAAGUGAGGAGGUUAAAUUUGCUGAAUUCGAUCAAAGCAUUAAAAACUUGGAUCAAAAAUUGAAAGAAGGUACAGCAAGAGAAUUAGGUCAAAACAAAGUGGCAUCUAUCACGGAAAAAUUAGUGGGUAAAAUCCCUACUGAACAGAAACCUCCAGAAAAAACGAAUCGUCAGCCAGCUUUACCAACGCCCAAUAAUUCCGAAUUUUGUCACUUCUGCAAGAAGCGUGUCUAUCUUAUGGAACGACUGUCUGCAGAAGGAAGGUUCUUCCAUCAUGGGUGCUUUAAAUGUCAGUAUUGCAAUGUUCAGUUACGGCUUGGGUCGUAUACAUUCGAUCGAGAUGGUUUAUACGGAUACAGAUUCUUCUGCUUACAACACUUCGGAAUGGUAAGAGAAGAAUCGCCAGCCAAAGUAACGCGAGCACCUUCGACUAAACGUGUUGACAGAUCCAGUCCAGAGAAGAAAUCUUUAGGCAUCGCUGGAGUUGACUUGCUCGAUAAAGUGCAAACACCAGAACGAAUUGAAUUUUCUAACUUGUCUUCUGGCCAUGUUUCAUCAGAUCAAGAAGACUCUCUUAAUCAAAUUGACGAAGACGAAUGGACUGAUAAAAACUUUGGUGCUUCUUGUGCGGAAAUGGAAGAUAGUGAUGAAGCUUCCUCUAGUUUCAGUGACCCUGACAGUGAUGAUGAAGGUGCCUACGAUGAUGCUUUAGAAGAACCUGUUACAAAAGAAGGUACUUUGAAAUGGGCUGAGCGAUGGAAGAAUAGUUAUUCGAGAAAAAAACGAAAUUCGCAUUCGGAUGAAUACAGCAGUAGUGAUCAAUCGAGUUAUUAUGACAGUUCAGACGGUGAAGAAUCAGACACCGCCACGGAGGGAGAAGAAGAUAUCAGAGCCCGUGAACUUCGGAAACGAGAAGUUUGCGUCGAACCGCCCAUCGUCCAUACAGACACCGGCACCGAUACCGAGGUGAAAUCAACUUUAAAUCUAUAUGUAAACAUCCCCGACGUAGUUUCCAAUCGCGAUAUCUUUAACUUAAAUAGGUCCUCGGACAAUAUUUCCGUGAAUUCGGGCGAAUACAACAGCGCAGACUCGGGAGAUUUCGAUCUCAACAUGAACAAAAUCGACGAAAGUAACGUAGUGGUAGGAAAAUUGCAAAUCACGAAACCCGGUAACGCUUCAGGCUCCUCCGAUAGCCCUGACACUUCGGCUAUACCGAAGAAAAUCAUCAGAAACUUUAUAGUUCCUAUGAAAGACAGGAAGACGUAUGGUCCGGAAUUCGUGCCCAAAUUCCAAGAUCAAGAACCGGAACCUUUGUUGGUCAUUAAGAGAACUCCCAGCAAGAUAUCAAUACCCAAAGAAAUGGUUAAACCUAAAGUGGCGGUAAACACGGCUUUACUUGACAAAGAAAAGUAUUUUGGAGCUACCAAUAAAAAAUUGCCACCCAGGAAAACCGUACAGAGGUCGGAUACAGUUGCUAAACCCGACGAUCUAAAAAAACCUCCCAUUAAAAAACCAAACAUUCUUAAUAAACCUUUAGUAAAGCAACAUAGCUUACCAGAAACAUCAACAGAGCUAGAAAGUAUCAAAAACUUCAAUUUUGAACCUGCAGAUGAUGAUCUCAAUAACAUCGAUGAUUACAUCGAAAAUCUGUUAGCAAACGAAGACGAAUUGAAGAAACCAAUAGAUCCAAAUAAAUUUAAAAUCGAUGUGGAACCGGAGCAGUUUAGCGACGAAGACAAAGAGGAAGAGAAGGUAUCUAGCAGUAUCGAGGAUCUACUUAAAGAUCUCGAGUUGGAAAGUAAUCUGAAUAUCGAAGAAUCUUUUGAAGCGGAGCCCGGAGAAAAGAUAGACGAUCUGUUAAACUGGAUGGAUGGUUUAGAUCACGAUACUCCUGAACGUAAAGUAUGUAGAUCAGCUAGUGAUGUUAAAUAUAGUAACCUGGAAAAGUUCUUGAAAACCCCUCAGUUAUCACAAAAUAUCGUUAGUAAAAUACCCAAAAAUAACAUAUCAUUCUUCGAGGAUCAGGUAUUGGGUAAAGUACCACGACAAAAUACCGUAGAUAAUGAUUACACGGAUAAUAAGCCCUUGUAUGGCUUGAAAAGGUCCAGAACAGAAAUUCGUUUUAAAAAACCUACUGUAGUAGCUCGAUCGUCAGUCGAUUUGGAUGCUGUUGAGAAGGUAAAUAUCAAGAGAAUCCUGCAGAAGUUUGAGACAAGCCCGGAAAAAAGUGUCACCAAACCAGUUACUGAAAACACUGAUAAAUACCCAAAAGAUUAUAAUCUUUUAAAAGCAAACCCAUUUAAGCCAAAGCCAAAAUGUGUUAAAAGCGCCAUAAAUAAAUUUGAAAACAAUGAAGGUAGCUCUAAUAAUACAUCUGCAAACAAAGAAGUUAGCACUAAUAAUACAUUUGCAAACAAAAAAGUUAGCACGAAUAAAGCUAAACCUCCCAUUAAAUUGCCGGUCAAAAAACAAGAAUCGAUCUCAAGUUAUUGUUUUGACGAUUUAGAAAAAUUUGUCCAGGACACUCUCUUGAGUAUCGGAGACAGAUAUGAGGGUGCACCUCAAAUGAACAACUCUAAUCAACCUAAAGAUAAUGAUUGGAAGGCGAAUAUAUCUGUAUCUUCGAUAGUCUAUCCACAAUCUCCUGAAAUGGAUUUGAAGGAGAACCAAGUUUAUCCUGAAACACCACACUCGCAUUCACAACCUUUAGAUGCUGAUGCGUCUUUCACAAGCACUCUGGAAUACCGUUUACAACCAAAUCAAAGUGAUACAGAUGUAAAUACACAUUCGCAGACUAUGGAAGAUGAUGGAUCUGCCACAAAUAAUGUGGACUGUCGUUUAAAACUAACUCAAGAUAAAAUUGAUGCAAAUACUCACUCACAAACUUUAGAAGAUGAUUUAUCUUUUACAAGUGCUCUGGAAUCUCGUUUACAACAAAUUCAGGAUGAUAAAAAUGCAGCUAAUCGAGCAUCUUUAGAACAAAUGGAUAAUUUUAAUAAAUGUGAUAAGGAUGUGGUUGCAAAUAAUGAAAAUGUUUGUGAAACGACAAAACACCCAUUGGAUAGUUUAGCAAAAUCCUUAGAAGAUCUCAGUACGAAUUUUAGUAAUAGAAUCAAUCCAGAAAGUACGGAAGAUCUGGAUAAUAAAGAACCUCAAUCAUAUAGUUAUGAAGAUGAUUCUCUUUCAUUGUCUAUUGACGAAUUUGCUCCCCUCAGGUUUGCCAAAGCUGUAGAGUCCACAGAUACAUCUCUGAUGGACGAUAAUAUCUCCACUAGUAACAAAGAUUUUACCAAAGAAAGUACCAAAGAUUUUACCAAUCAAAGUACCAAAGUACCUGAUAAAAAUGUCGAUAUAGAAAGUUUGUACGCAACUGUAAAUAAAAAUAAAAAAGUGGAAGAUGUAGAAGAAGAUUUGAUUCCUCCACAAAAGCCGAUGAGGCAAAAAUCCAAAGAAAAAAAGGAAGAGAAUUUAAAUGUGGCACCACUAGCUCCUCGUAGAAGGAAAAAAUCUGUAAAUUCGCCCCAACCUUCCAGAAAGAACUAUAGCGACGGGUUUGAAAAAGAGGAUGUUAAGAAGGAAGUAGUAUCAACAUACUCACUUCCUUCCGUUCAAAAAGUCAACCUCACGAACAUUUCUCCGUCGGUGUCACCGGAUUCUAGUUUGUCGAGUUCGUCAAAAAGCUACGGCAAGUCUAAAAACAAAGACUCUGACAGUGACAACUGUUGUAUACAAUAAAAACAUUUUUUUUUUAAAUAAUAUUUGUAGUAUUUGUACGGGUAGAAAUAUUCUGCGUUUGAAUCGGAGUGAAGAUCUACGUGUGUUGUUGCUUGCUUUGAAAUUUUAAUACUUGUUUUUAAGCUUCAGUUUAGUUAUAAAAUGCAUUCGUCCACUGUUACUUCGUGCAGAAAUUUAUAGUUUUGAUGAUGAUUUGGUGUCAUUGGUCAACAAUCACGUUAAAGCAAUGGUAAAUAAGAUUGUAACAGACGAGAGUAGCUCCGAAUCGUCGAGCGAGAUUCAAAAUUCUGCAACGGAAAUUUCCACAGACUCUGAAUUCGCCCAAGAUGAUCCCACGCCUACUAGAGAAAUUCCGUCGAUAGUUUUGAACGACAUGUACGUUAAUAAAGCUAAAAGAUCUGGCUACAACCCCCGCAGGAAAAUCCAGGUGACGAGUCGUUAUCUACAAAGCCCUCUAG